CGCACGAGUUUUUCGUUUUGGGGUAUAUAUGAUUUGCACAUCUAGUGAGACGCCAUUCGAGGGUUGUUUUUGACAGGCAAAGUUAUGGAGCAAGAAAACGAAAGGGUGAUAAAGUAGUUUAGGCGUUCAUUUGCGAAAUACAUAGUAUUCGGAAGGAGAUUUUCGAUGAGAGGACUGAUUCUCUGCUAGAAGCGGAAUGGUGAGCUGGAACUUCGAACAAAGGUCAGACUUGUUGGUUCUGUUUAUUGUAAUAACACUGGCAACAACAUUCCGAUUGAAAUUAACACAGGUUGUGUUCCUUGUUAACUUUAAUGAUAAGUAUAUUCAAUAACAUGCUCCAUAUCUUUAUUUGUGCUGUUGUUUUUGUUUAGUUCCAACUAUUCAGAUACAUCAAUUGAUUUGAUUAUUGGGUAAAAAUGAAACUAUUUAAGUUCAAAAAGAUGUCGCAAAUGUAAUGGUCUGGUAGGAUUAUAUAUAGGUAAGGCCACAUAGUGUGUCACUCCAGGUUGUUUUGAUAGCAGAGUUAGAUCACUCUCCCUCAUGUUUUUACGAACACCUUGCUUUAUUUUUAUUGUUUUAAGAUAUAAAACCUUAUAUGGUAAUACAUGUGUUACAAGUUUGUGUAUUAGUUCCAAGCGUAUAAUUCAACAAACGAUUAAUAACAAUUAACUGCCGUUUUCCUUAUAAUUCAGCUAGAUGGUUGUGUGCGAUAUAUGACGUGGUAUGAUAAUGAGCGGAUGAAAAUUUAUGCAAACAUAUCUUUAAACUAUUCAGGUAUUCCAAUUGUGAAUUAAGAAUGAAACAUAAAAAAUCGAUACAUUACUGAAAUAUAUAUUAUAUUCAUCUAUGAAACAGCUAUAGAGACUUGUCUUGUAAACUUUUUUCGAAACAUGUUUGUGUUGUGCAUAUAUUACAUCUCGUUCACUGGAUAUUGAAUAAACAGUUUAUAUGUUAUUGUUGUAUACAAUUAAAAAAUUUCUCUAAAUUGAAUUUAAACAUUAAGAGUUAUUAUAUUUUUCAUAAUAAUUUAAGACGUUAAGUUUUCCCUGCAAGGUUGGUGUCAAUAAUGGUGCAUGCAUAUGUGCUAAUUAAUUUACGAUAUUUUGGAUAAACUGUGGUAUAAAUUUGGUUUGAAAAGAGCGUUGACAAUAAGACUGUUGUUUUAAACUUAGAUGAAAGGCAUUUAUCGGUUUUGUUAAAUUUAGUUUCGUCAUAGUUAAAUGCAUUUUUAAAGAUUAGGUACUGUAAUGAUAACAAAAGUAGACCGGAUUUAUUUGCAAUAUAAGUCAUUUUGUUUUCGUGAUAGUUUUUGUUCUUGUUUGGUGGCCUGUUGGCUUGAUGUGUAAAGACAUUUUGCUUUUAUGGUGUUUGGCCGUUUUUUGAAUGCCAGUUAACAUGUGUAAUUUGCUUAUCGUUUUGGUGAAAGCCAGUUGACCAGAUGUGGAUAAACCCAGUUAGCGCGUGUAGUUUGUUAACCAAAUUUGUUAAAACGUGCGUUUACAUUUUUGUUUUUAUUUAAUGUUAAGAUUGUACUGUUCGAAGGAUAUUAUAUAUAUUGGGGAACAUUAAAUGUAUGUUAUUAAGGGCCAGAUUGGCUUAUGUAAAUUAACCGGUUGGCUCGGGUUGUCCGUUGACAGUUUGUUGAAAGCAGAUUUUUUCAGAUGCGUAUAAGCCAGUUUGCUUGCGUGUCAAUUCACUAAAAUGUCUCAAAACACAUGUUGAAAUUGCAUUUACACAUGUUUGCGAAGUUUAUUUUUUCAGAAGCUGGACAGUUCGAAGAAUAAAUAAUGAAUAGUGUAACAUUAUUAUAGUAAGAGGGCAGCUCGAAAGGUAUAAAAAAAAAAAAAAAAAAAAUGUUUUUUUUUUUUUUGCGUAAUGAUGUGUUAGAAAAUAACUUGUUAAGAUUAAUAAUGAUGCUUUUAUUGAUGAUGAUGUUAUAAAUGUUGAUGAUGAUGCUAACGUUAUUGAUGAGGAGGAGGAAUAGUUGACAGUAUUUUGUGAAUGGAUAAUACUACAUUAACGAAUUUUGAGUGAAUGAAAUUAUUUUCGGUUUGAUAAAUACCGAAUGAUGUUGGUCUAUACAUAUUAUUUAGAAGAGAAAGUGAGUAUGGUUAUUGUUUAGCACGUAAAAAUGAAUGAGUUUCUAGGUUUUGCGUUUAAUUGAACAAAAACAAGUAACGGUUCAGCAACAGGGAUUAUUCUCAGAUGGUACAUGUAUUCCUUUUAGAGUCACAGAAAUUCAACUUUGCAUCAAUACCGGUUUUCUUUGAGAUUUGUUUGAUGGGUUAAAAUUCCAAAAAUUUACGAGUUUUGCAGCCGACCAAGUACCUAUAGCUUUGUAUUUGAGUGUGUUAAGCAUUUUGUUGUUUUCAAAUUAGUAAAUCAAAAUUAAUACGGUGUUCUAGUAUAUCAAUUGAGCUUAUGCUAUUGCCAUGGAAAUUUGAGCCAGGGUUCGAUCAGUAGCUUAAAGUAUGUCUGUGUUGGUGAAUUGAACCUAAAACAAAUGUCAAGUCGGUAGUUUUAAUUUUAAGAGCAGAACAUACGUAUUGAUUGUGAGAACAUUAGUAAAAUGUGUUUGGUAUUUGUGCAUGUCUCUUGUGGUCAUUGGACCAAGUUGUUUAAGGCCAAUUGGCCUGAUUUUGAAAGCCAGUUGGCUUGUAUGGUCAGUUGACCGUUUUUAAAGCCAUUCUAUAUGGUGUGUGAAAGCCUGUUGGCUUGUGUUGUCAGGUUACCGAACUUUCUUGGAACGAAAGUCUCAUAGAAUUUACAAUAUUUGCAAGAUUAUUGUUUGCAAUGCAGUAACUGGACAGUUCGAAUAGUAUAUUAAGUAUUGAAGAACAUAAAGGUAUGGUUUAUGUUGUAUGUUAUUAUUAUUACUAGGAUUAUUAUGAUGUAUUUUAUUUGGGUGCAUUUGGAGAAUUGCAAAGCCGGUAGUUAAAAAAGAGCCUAUUACAUCAGAUAUAUUAAAGAAAUUUUAUCACACUUUUGUUUCUGAGAGCGAUUGUUCUUUGGGGUAUUUAAGAGGCAUUACAAUCUUUUUCUUAUUUUAUGCUGGUUUUUUUAGGAUAAGUGAAAUUUUGUCUGUUAAAGAUCAGAUGUUGUAUUUUUAGAUACGCAUUGUGAUAUUAAAGUUGAAAAGUCAAAAACGGACAUUUUAAGAGAGGGUAAUACUAUUCUGAUUGCAAAAACUAAUACAGACACAUGACCUGUGAAAUUGUUUGAAAAGUAUUUGUGUGUUGCAGAUAUUGCAUGUUCAUCUACUGAUUAUGUGUUUAGACCAGUUUAUUUGUGUAAUGUUAAACACUGUUUCAAAUUGAUUUCUAAUAAUAAGCAUAUAAGUUAUUCUACUAUAAAUGAUAGUUUUAAGAAGAAGUUAAGUCUAUUGGGUUAUGUUUCUUCUAAAUAUGGACUUCAUUCUUUUCGUGCUGGUGGAGCAUCUAUAAGUGCCAAUAAUAAGACUGUGGAUAGACUUUGGCAAAGGCAUGGUAGAUGAAAAAGUGUUUCCAAUAAGGACGGAUAUGUUAAAGAUUCUUUGAAAGACCGAUUAUCGGUGUCGCUAAAUUUAGAUUUGUGAAAAGUCAUUUUUAAUGUAUGUGUGUUUUGAAAUGUAUGAUGUGUUGUUCGUAGCACAUUUAAAGACACUAUAAUAUAUUAUUAUAUAAAUGGUUUGGAAAUGCUUUUGAGUAUUAUUAAGUUCUGUGUUUGUGUUGUGUGUAUGUUCCUUGUGGUCAUUGGACCAAUUUGUUUACGGCCAUUUGGCCUGAUUUGGUAAGCCAGUUGGCUUGUAUGGUCAGUUGACCGUUUUUUAAAGCAAGUUGAUCUGAUGUGUGAAAGCCGGUUGGCUUUUGUGAGUUGAACUUAUUUUCUUAAAAAGCAUGUUCACAUGGAAUUAACAAUCUUUGCAAGUUUAUUUUUUGCAGUGCAGUAACUGGACAGUACGAAUGGUAUAUUAAGUAUUAGAGAACAUAAAGGUAUGGUUUAUGUAGUAUGUUAUUAUAAUUAUAAGGAUUAUGAUUAUGAUAUUUUUUAUUUCCGUUUUAAUGUUUAUCAUUAAUUUUGUAAAUAUUGUUUUAUUAUAUCUGUUUAAUUCUCUUGUGCAUUAUUCGAUUGGUCAUUUGACCGUUUGUGAAGGCCAGAGUGUGCCUGAUGUUGAUUAGCCGUUUGGCUUGUGUGGUCAUUUGACCGUUUGUGAAGGCCAGAGUGUGCCUGAUGUUGAUUAGCCGUUUGGCUUGUGUGGUCAUUUGACCGUUUGUGAAGGCCAGAGUGUGCCUGAUGUUGAUAAGCCAGUUGGCUUGUGUGGUCAGUUGACCGUUGUUGAAGGCCAUAGUGUGCCUAUUUUGAUUGAAUUAAUUUUAUUGCUUUUACAAAUGUUUGUAAUUGUAUCUUUUCAGUUAAAACACAGUUCGAGAGGUAUAUAACGUGGUGGAGAAUAUUUAGUAUAUUUUCAGUUCGGUUUUUAGUCCAUGUGAGAUGGGAUCUUAACACGAACCGAUUUCUUUACUAGGAAAGACGAUGGGUGUAUUUUCAUUUAAGUCUGAAGCAGCUAAGUUUUCUUGAUUAUUUUGACUCAUUUGUUACUUAAUAUUGUGUUUGAAUGAGGUCUUUUAAGUUAUGGGUGUCAUGUUUUUCGAGACUCUCACUUCCUGGAGAUAGUACCUCCAGCAUACUUAUUGAAAUAUUGGUAUGUUUAAAUGUCAAGUGUUAUUAUUUUUUGUUGUAGUUCGUAAUGAACGUUUAAUUUUAAAGACAUUUUUAUUGUACGAUUACUUAAUAUUUUCAUUUUGGUGUGACUGGUUAGAUGUUGAAGUCGGUUUAAUAUAGCUGUUAAAUUCGUCAUAUGCAUUUAUAUAUUUCUCGGAAUAUUUAUGAUUUAUCAACAUUCUUUAUAGAUGCUUUAUGGAUUUUAUGGUUUGAGUGAUUUGUUUGUUUCUUGCUGAUGUCCGGGGUGUGUGCAGAAUGCUUUUGAUGUUUGUUUGUUAUGUUAACUUGCGCAAUGAAUUGAUAAUGUUUUAAUUACAUUUUUUACUAUUAAAUACUUAAUGUUACAGUAUCUUAAUAGCUGCUUAUUUGUAGAUUUCUCUAAAUUAGAGGUUUCGGGAGGUGAUGAAGGCACCUAGACACCGGUCUCGAGCCAUGGGUCCUCAUACGUCCCCCUGCCAUUAAAAGAAAAAAUAAGAAAACAAAAAUGGCAGUAGGGUUGCGUAUCCCGCUCGCGGUUUUACCUGAAUCGUUUAUUACUACUGAGUAUUGUAUGGGGUGUACGUGAAGUCAUGUACACUUCUCUUGAUUGGUGGUGGUAGAUGAAUCUUGCAGAUAUUAGCAGCUUCUUUGAACAAAUUAAUGUUUCACAUUUGUUAAUUUAUAAUAUUUAAGCAAGUUAGCGUGAUUGAUGGGCAUUGGGGGCGUCCUGUGUGCACUGUGGGCAUCGGCGGGGAUCAGUUUAUUCAAACAGUAACUCUUUUUUGAGAUAUAUACUUGACGUCUAAUUGUUAUGAAUACAUUUGCACUUUUUCACAUGACACACAUGUGUAUGUGAAGUAUUCAUAAUUACAUGCCCUACAGCAUUUAAAUAGUAUCGUUUCAGUUCUUUAUACGCCUGAACAAAGAUGUUACACCGUUUCCAGUCGUCUCGAGAUUCCUCAACUGAGCGGUGCCGUUGAGAAAAAUGACGUUCGUGUGUGAAAUCUGUGGGAAGACAUUGAAAUCGGAUUGGGGGUUAAAGCUUCAUGAUAAGCGCCACAGAGGGACUGGACGAUUCGCCUGUUGUGAAAAAACAUGUUACACAAAACAGGCGUUCAACAGACACAGAUGCAGCAUUCAAGGUGUUAAAAAGCCGUUCCCCUGUGAACAAUGCGGCAAAAAGUUUUCAACGAAAGAUGACCUGAAUCGUCACGUCCGGAGGGAGGUAGCUGCAAAGCAAUUUACCUGUUUAAUUUGCAAUGCAAAACUCCGAGAGAAAAUUGACCUUCAGGCCCACCUUGACAACCACAAUGGAGAGAAAAACUUUGCUUGUGAUAUGUGUGAAAAGAGGUACAGGCACCGCAGUAGUCUAUCAAACAGAACAGAACAGAACAGACAGUUUAUUAAGACUUAUACAAAUGUACAUCGUCUAAAUACACAAAAUAUAAUACAAAAUAUUGUCACGUGUCUAUAUAUUACAACGUAUGAGUUAUAACAAUAUACAAAAUGUAAUAUAACAAUUUGAGACAAAGUAUAUUUAACAAAGAAGAAAGACUUUACAUCACCGUAGUUAAAUAUAUAUCGUUUUACUAGCAGUAAGGAACUACUUUAGUUUUCGCUGGCAAUAUUAUUUGUGAUAAAAUGUCUUACGGCC